UAAGAGGACCCGCCUGCCCUGUGACUAUAAGUUUAACGGCCGCGGUAUUUUGACCGUGCGAAGGUAGCGCAAUCACUUGUCUUUUAAAUGGAGACCUGUAUGAAUGGCAUAACGAGGGCUUAGCUGUCUCCUUUUUCAAGUCAAUGAAAUUGAUCUCCCCGUGCAGAAGCGGGGAUACUUACAUAAGACGAGAAGACCCUAUGGAGCUUUAGACACCAAAGUAGAUCAUGUUAAACACCCCUAAAUAAAGGACCAAACCAGAUGAACCCUACCCUAAUGUCUUUGGUUGGGGCGACCGCGGGGAAAUACAUAACCCCCACGUGGAACGGGAAUACCAUUCCUACAACUAAGAGCUCCCGCUCUAAUGAACAGAAUUUCUGACCUUAUGAUCCGGCAAAGCCGAUCAACGGACCGAGUUACCCUAGGGAUAACAGCGCAAUCCCCUUUUAGAGCCCAUAUCGACAAGGGGGUUUACGACCUCGAUGUUGGAUCAGGACAUCCUAAUGGUGCAGCCGCUAUUAAGGGUUCGUUUGUUCAACG
rnacentral:rRNA from 1 species